rnacentral:rRNA from 1 species
UACGGAGGGUGCGAGCGUUGUUCGGAUUCAUUGGGCGUAAAGGGUGCGUAGGCGGCGCGGUAAGUCGGGUGUGAAAUCUCGGAGCUUAACUCCGAAACUGCAUUGGAAACUACUUUGCUCGAGGGUUGGAGGGGGGACUGGAAUUCUCGGUGUAGCAGUGAAAUGCGUAGAUAUCGAGAGGAACACCAGUGGCGAAGGCGAGUCCCUGGACAACUCCUGACACUGAGGCACGAAAGCUAGGGGAGCAAACAGG